rnacentral:rRNA from 1 species
UACGAAGGGGGCUAGCGUUGCUCGGAAUCACUGGGCGUAAAGCGCACGUAGGCGGCUUACUAAGUCAGGGGUGAAAUCCUGGAGCUCAACUCCAGAACUGCCUUUGAUACUGGUGAGCUUGAGUCCGGAAGAGGUGAGUGGAACUGCGAGUGUAGAGGUGAAAUUCGUAGAUAUUCGCAAGAACACCAGUGGCGAAGGCGGCUCACUGGUCCGGUACCUGAC